GAUGAAGAACGUAGCGAAAUGCGAUACGUAAUGUGAAUUGCAGAUUUCAGUGAAUCAUCGAAUCUUUGAACGCACAUUGCGCCCGCUAGUAUUCUGGCGGGCAUGCCUGUUCGAGCGUCAUUUCAACCCUCAAGCUCUCCGGAGUUUGGUGUUGGGGCGCCUGGGGCUUUUCGACCUCAGGGCCCUCAAGUCCAUCGGCGGGACCGCCAGGACACUGAGCGCAGUAGUAUUAUUUCGCUCGGUAGGAUCUUCCACGGCGGGUCGAUCUGGCCGCUAAACCCCCCAAUUCUCACCAAAGGUUGACCUCGGAUCAGGUAGGAAUACCCGCUGAACUUAAGCAUAUCAAUAAGCGGAGGA
rnacentral:misc_RNA from 1 species